rnacentral:siRNA from 1 species
UUGGUCUCGUUGCAAUGAUAUG